CUAUUUUAACUCAAAGAAAUUCUCUGCAUAGUUGUCCAAACAUAUAUUUAAUUAUUUUCAGCAAAGAAACUUUGAAACUUAGAACAAAACCAAGCUAAUUACAGAUUUAUAUAUUAAUGAUUAUUAAACUAAAAUACUAAGAUUGUUCGUAACACAGUGCCUUGUCGAUCAAUAUAAAUCUCUAGAUCAACCAAACUAGCUGUCAUAGAUUCUUUUCGUACAUUAUACUCACAGGAGACCGCGUGGGCUCUCACCUUCCUAGGUGGGUGGAGCAGACUAGAAAAUGGCAAGCAUCCUGCCCAGCAGCAGUGUCAAAUGAUCCGUUAAGGGCAGAGACUGAAAAGGGGAAGAGACAACUCUUUGUCAUUCCUUCCAAUUUAAAACUAUGUAAUGUGGUUCUGACUUCUCACAGAUCCAAACAGCUAUUAAAUUCAUCUUUCGUGUAUGGCAUGUUGA